rnacentral:lncRNA from 10 species
CUGUAGUCUCAGCUACUCAGGAAGCUGAGGUGGGAGGAUCACUUGAGUCAGGGAAGUUGAGGCUGCAGUGAGCUGUGAUACCACUGCACUCCAGCCUGGGUGAUGGAACGAGACCCUAUCUAAAUAAAACAAAAAUUUGCUUAUAAAUAAUUUUUAGUAUCAAGGGAGAUGGCUUCUGACAUCAUGAUAGGUCAUUAAAAAUCAAGCUAUAAAAUUAUAUUAAGUGCAAUCUUAACAAUAUAAAACAACGGAGGAGUUAAAAACCAUCAAAACAUUAUUUGUGAUUAUGUAUUUCUUUUUUGAGACAGGGUCUCGCUCUUUGCCCAGGCUGGAGUGCAGUGGUGUGAUCCCGGCUGACUGACACCUCCACCUCCCAGGCUCAAACAAUUCUCCUUCCUCAGCCUCCAGAGUAGCUGGGAUUACAGGUGCAUGCCACCACACCUGGCUUAUUUUUGUAUUUUUAGUAAAGAUGGGGCUUUGCCAUGUUGGCCAGGCUAGUGUUGAACACCUGGCCUCAAGUGAUCUGCCUGCCUUGACCUCCCAAAGUGCUAAGAUUAUAGGCAUGAGCCACCAUGCCCCGCCUAUUUGUGAUUCUUUCUAAGUAGUGGGAUUGCAGGGGAUAUUUGUAUGCAAACAGGAAUGCGAGCUAUGGUUGGCAGAAUUUAUUUCUACCUGCGGAACAUUCCCACCUGAAUCUCCAGUAUUCCUCUGCAAUUUUCAGAGCAGAGAGAAUCAAAGCCAUUAAAAAGCUGACUGUGACAUCAGGCUGAAGAGAGGCACAGAUGUCCUCCCCAGAAACACUACUUGCUCUUACCCAGGCAACAGAGGCUUGAGGACUAACCUUGUAAAUUACCUGGCAUGUGUAAGUAACAAUGUUUGCAAGAAAGUCUUUCAACCUUUUUUUUUUUCCCCAA